rnacentral:antisense_RNA from 1 species
UCGCAGCAGGCAUGUGUGCCUGGGUUUGUUACCAGCAGCCAUUUUCUCACCCUUAAAUGACGGAUGGGUCUCCCCUUUUCUUUUUCUCAUUUUCCUAGAGGUUAUAAGAUUCCUGUUUUUCUCACCAGGAAGAGAGGUCAGCCUCAGUGAGCUCAUAGCAGUCAUACAUUGCCAGUGUUUUUCCUCAAGUGGAAGGAGAAAGGCCUUCAGAAAAAAAAUCGUAUGCAAACCUAGUGCUACCACCAGCAGCAGCUCUGAAUCGAGAUUUUUGGGACAAUUCGGCUUACUGAAGAUAAACUACAAUAAGUCUCAAGGAGGCAAAUAAUUCUGAUUCCAAUGAGGAAUCCAAGAAUAAAGGCAGCUCUUAAGACCAAGUACUCUGACUAGAAAAUAUCCUCAUAUUUGAUGUAAGAGAGCAUGAGACGGAGAACCAAGUUCCUUAAAGUACGGACGUGAACUGUCUGUGGGUGACUUGCCUGGAUGCCGGCUAUAGCUGCAGCCCCCAAAGUCGAAGCUACCAGAACAGAUUGGAUGAGGAUGGCCCAAAGAUUAUGGAGUUGCUGGCCCCAAAGCAAG